rnacentral:rRNA from 1 species
GACGAACGCUGGCGGCGUGCCUAAUACAUGCAAGUCGAACGCACUUUCGUUAGAUCGAAGAAGCUUGCUUCUGAUUGAUAACAUUUGAGUGAGUGGCGGACGGGUGAGUAACACGUGGGUAACCUGCCCUAAAGUGGGGGAUAACAUUUGGAAACAGAUGCUAAUACCGCAUAAAACCUAGCACCGCAUGGUGCAAGGUUGAAAGAUGGUUUCGGCUAUCACUUUAGGAUGGACCCGCGGUGCAUUAGUUAGUUGGUGAGGUAAAGGCUCACCAAGACCGUGAUGCAUAGCCGACCUGAGAGGGUAAUCGGCCACACUGGGACUGAGACACGGCCCAGACUCCUACGGGAGGCAGCAGUAGGGAAUCUUCCACAAUGGACGAAAGUCUGAUGGAGCAACGCCGCGUGAGUGAAGAAGGUUUUCAGAUCGUAAAACUCUGUUGUUGGAGAAGAACGUAUUUGAUAGUAACUGAUCAGGUAGUGACGGUAUCCAACCAGAAAGCCACGG